CCCUUAGAUGUUCUGGGCCGCACGCGCGCUACACUGAUUCAUGCAACAAGUUUUGUCCUUGGCUGAUAGGCCUGGGUAAUCUUUGAACGUGAAUCGUGAUGGGGAUAGAUGAUUGCAAUUAUUCAUCUUCAACGAGGAAUUCCUAGUAAACGCAAGUCAUCAGCUUGCAUUGAUUACGUCCCUGCCCUUUGUACACACCGCCCGUCGCACCUACCGAUUGUAUGGUCCGGUGAAAUCUUCGGAUCUGAGAGAUGUCUGAUUAAUUUCGGACGCCUUUUGGAAAAGUUGCUUAAACCUUACCAUUUAGAGGAAGGUGAAGUCGUAACA
rnacentral:rRNA from 1 species